rnacentral:rRNA from 1 species
CCUACGGGUGGCAGCAGUGGGGAAUAUUGCACAAUGGGGGAAACCCUGAUGCAGCGACGCCGCGUGAGUGAAGAAGUAUUUUGGUAUGUAAAGCUCUAUCAGCAGGGAAGAAGCUAGACGGUACCUGACUAAGAAGCCCCGGCUAACUACGUGCCAGCAGCCGCGGUAAUACGUAUGGAGCAAGCGUUAUCCGGAUUUACUGGGGGUAAAGGGAGAGGAGGUGGCAGAGCAAGUACGAAGUGAAAACCCAAAGCUCAACUAGGGGAAUGCUUUAGAAACUGCUCAGCUAGAGUGCAGGAGAGGCAAGUGGAAUUCUUAGUGUAGCGGUGAAAUGCGUAGAUAUUAGGAGGAACACCAGUGGCGAAGGCGGCUUGCUGGACUGUAACUGACACUGAGGCUCGAAAGCGUGGGGAGCAAACAGGAUUAGAUACCCUUGUAGUC